rnacentral:piRNA from 1 species
UGAGCUUUGUGCAAGGUGACAAUAUGG